rnacentral:rRNA from 1 species
CCUACGGGAGGCUGCAGUGGGGGAUAUUGCACAAUGGGGGGAACCCUGAUGCAGCGACGCCGCGUGGGUGAAGAAGCGCCUCGACGCGUAAAGCCCUGUCAGCAGGGAAGAAAAUGACGGUACCUGAAGAAGAAGCCCCGGCUAACUACGUGCCAGCAGCCGCGGUAAUACGUAGGGGGCAAGCGUUAUCCGGAUUUACUGGGUGGAAAGGGGGCGCAGACGGCGAUGCAAGCCAGGAGUGAAAGCCCGGGGCCCAACCCCGGGACUGCUCUUGGAACUGCGUGGCUGGAGUGCAGGAGGGGCAGGGGGAAUUCCUGGUGUAGCGGUGAAAUGCGUAGAUAUCAGGAGGAACCCCGGUGGCGAAGGCGGCCUGCUGGACUGCAACUGACGUUGAGGCCCGAAAGCGUGGGGAGCAAACAGGAUUAGAUACCCUGGUAGUC